rnacentral:rRNA from 1 species
GGGGAAUAUUGCACAAUGGGCGCAAGCCUGAUGCAGCGACGCCGCGUGAGGGAUGACGGCCUUCGGGUUGUAAACCUCUUUCAGCAGGGAAGAAGCGCAAGUGACGGUACCUGCAGAAGAAGCGCCGGCUAACUACGUGCCAGCAGCCGCGGUAAUACGUAGGGCGCAAGCGUUGUCCGGAAUUAUUGGGCGUAAAGAGCUCGUAGGCGGUUUGUCGCGUCUGCUGUGAAAACGCGAUGCUCAACCUCGCGCCUGCAGUGGGUACGGGCAGACUAGAGGGCGGUAGUGGAGACUGGAAUUCCUGGUGUAGCGGUGGAAUGCGCAGAUAUCAGGAGGAACACCUGAGGCGAAGGCGGGUUGCUGGGCCGACACUGACGCUGAUGCGCGAAAGCCAGGGG